GAAAGUUUGGCUGACUAAAAAUAAACUUAGUGUUUGCAGAAAAGGAUGUAAAGCUGAAAAAAAGAAGAUUGAAGCAGUGAAGAUACACUUGAGCUCUCCAUGGGAACGGACACAUCAGUACAACGGUCUGUACAGAGAAACAUGCAUACAUCUUACAGCCAGUCAGGAGCAGGAAGAGGUCUUUCAGGCUCUGAACAGGAGCAUGUUCAGUCAUCACCAAGACUCAAGGAGAUCUUACUGGAGGUUAGUUGCUCGAGGGACCACUCUGACAGACGGUGACUGUAAACAAGCAGAGAGGAACAAACAAGCCUGGAGCACUACUAAACAGCACUGGGGAAGAGGGGGAAGAGAAGACA